rnacentral:rRNA from 1 species
GAUAAACGCUGGCGGCGUGCUUAACACAUGCAAGUCGAACGGUAAAGCCCUUCGGGGUACACGAGUGGCGAACGGGUGAGUAACACGUGGGUGAUCUGCCCUGCACUUCGGGAUAAGCCUGGGAAACUGGGUCUAAUACCGGAUAGGACCCUGGGAUGCAUGUCCUGGGGGGGAAAGCUUUUGCGGUGUGGGAUGGGCCCGCGGCCUAUCAGCUUGUUGGUGGGGUGAUGGCCUACCAAGGCGACGACGGGUAGCCGGCCUGAGAGGGUGAACGGCCACACUGGGACUGAGAUACGGCCCAGACUCCUACGGGAGGCAGCAGUGGGGAAUAUUGCACAAUGGGCGCAAGCCUGAUGCAGCGACGCCGCGUGAGGGAUGACGGCCUUCGGGUUGUAAACCUCUUUCAGUAGGGACGAAGCGCAAGUGACGGUACCUACGGAAGAAGGACCGGCCAACUACGUGCCAGCCGCCGCAGUAA